CGGCCGCGGUAUCCUGACCGUGCAAAGGUAGCAUAAUCACUUGUUCCUUAAUUAGGGACUAGCAUGAAUGGCCAAACGAGGAUUCAACUGUCUCUUAUUUUUAAUCAGUGAAAUUGACCUUUCAGUGAAGAGGCUGAAAUACUAAAAUAAGACGAGAAGACCCUAUGGAGCUUAAAUUAAAAGUUUAACUUUACUUCCAUCAGCCUAAUGGCAUAACACAAAAAUUUUAAACUCUAAAUUUCGGUUGGGGUGACCUCGGAGAACAAAAAAUCCUCCGAAUGAUUUUAACAUAGACCAACAAGUCAAAGUAACCUAAAAAUCUUAUUGA
rnacentral:rRNA from 1 species